rnacentral:rRNA from 1 species
GACGAACGCUGGCGGCGUGCUUAACACAUGCAAGUCGAACGGAAAGGCCCUGCUUUUGUGGGGUGCUCGAGUGGCGAACGGGUGAGUAACACGUGAGUAACCUGCCCUUGACUUUGGGAUAACUUCAGGAGACUGGGGCUAAUACCGGAUAGGAGCUCCUGCUGCAUGGGGGGGGUUGGAAAGUUUCGGCGGUUGGGGAUGGACUCGCGGCUUAUCAGCUUGUUGGUGGGGUAGUGGCUUACCAAGGCUUUGACGGGUAGCCGGCCUGAGAGGGUGACCGGCGACAUUGGGACUGAGAUACGGCCCAGACUCCUACGGGAGGCAGCAGUGGGGAAUAUUGCACAAUGGGCGGAAGCCUGAUGCAGCAACGCCGCGUGCGGGAUGACGGCCUUCGGGUUGUAAACCGCUUUCGCCUGUGACGAAGCUUGAGUGACGGUAAUGGGUAAAGAAGCACCGGCUAACUACGUG